UACGAAGGGGGCUAGCGUUGCUCGGAAUCACUGGGCGUAAAGCGCACGUAGGCGGACUCUUAAGUCGGUGGUGAAAUCCUGGAGCUCAACUCCAGAACUGCCUUCGAUACUGGGAGUCUUGAGUCCGGGAGAGGUGAGUGGAACUGCGAGUGUAGAGGUGAAAUUCGUAGAUAUUCGCAAGAACACCAGUGGCGAAGGCGACUCACUGGCCCGGUACUGACGCUGAGGUGCGAAAGCGUGGGGAGCAAACAGG
rnacentral:rRNA from 1 species